rnacentral:rRNA from 1 species
UACGUAGGGUGCGAGCGUUGUCCGGAAUUACUGGGCGUAAAGAGCUCGUAGGUGGUUUGUCGCGUUGUUCGUGAAAACCGGGGGCUUAACCCUCGGCGUGCGGGCGAUACGGGCAGACUGGAGUACUGCAGGGGAGACUCGGAAUUCCUGGUGUAGCGGUGGAAUGCGCAGAUAUCAGGAGGAACACCGGUGGCGAAGGCGGGUCUCUGGGCAGUAACUGACGCUGGAGGAGCGAAAGCGUGGGGAGCGAACAGG